rnacentral:rRNA from 1 species
GNGGGCNGCCUANACAUGCAAGUCGAGCGGAAACGAGUUAACUGAACCUUCGGGGAACGUUAACGGCGUCGAGCGGCGGACGGGUGAGUAAUGCCUGGGAAAUUGCCCUGAUGUGGGGGAUAACCAUUGGAAACGAUGGCUAAUACCGCAUAAUAGCCCGGUUCUUCGGAAUGGGUCUCAAAGAGGGGGACCUUUUAGGCCUCUCGCGUCAGGAUAUGCCCAGGUGGAAUUAGCUAGUUGGUGAGGUAAUGGCUCACCAAGGCGACGAUCCCUAGCUGGUCUGAGAGGAUGAUCAGCCACACUGGAACUGAGACACGGUCCAGACUCCUACGGGAGGCAGCAGUGGGGAAUAUUGCACAAUGGGCGCAAGCCUGAUGCAGCCAUGCCGCGUGUAUGAAGAAGGCCUUCGGGUUGUAAAGUACUUUCAGCAGUGAGGAAGGUGGGUAUGUUAAUAGCAUACACAUUUGACGUUAGCUGCAGAAGAAGCACCGGCUAACUCCGUGCCAGCAGCCGCGGUAAUACGGAGGGUGCGAGCGUUAAUCGGAAUUACUGGGCGUAAAGCGCAUGCANGUGGUUUGUUAAGUCAGAUGUGAAAGCCCGGGGCUCAACCUCGGAAUUGCNUUUGAAAA